rnacentral:snoRNA from 2 species
CCCCUCUCAGGAUUGCACUUGAAGAAUUUCCAGUACUCUACCAAUCUCAGCUAGGGAAGGGAGAGUCAAGCAGUGGCUUAACCAUUCCAUUCCUAGCUUGGGCAGUGGCUAGCGAGUGGAAGACAAUCAGCUACAAGU